CUCACAACAGCCUGCUACGCAAACCUUGACCAGGCGAGGGCGCCCCAGAGCAAGGCCGAAGGUACAUGCUAGGUUUGCGGCUUUUCUGCCUACUUCGUCCCUCUGAGCUGCUUUUCCUUAUCAGUGAGAGGGGAUAACAACGGUGGCUCCCAGGCUUGUGAGAAGGAAACCCUUGCGAGGCCGCAGUGCGUGUGCGGCUCACUCCAGGUGUUCAGCAAAUGUUCUGCCACUGUUGCUUGCCUCGGCAUUCGUCACCGUCCUGCAGGCUGCCAGCAUCUGGUGCCCGGAUGUAAGUCUCCAACACUCCAGGGGCCCAGGGCAGAAGGAUCCCAAGGGCAGGCCCGGCCUGGCCAACUUACUGACUCCGCCAGGCUGUCUCAGAACACAAAGAUAAAGGUGAUCUGCGGGAGAAAGUGGCUCCAGCCAUGAAGACACCCAAGCAAGGAGGCAGCCGAAGGCCUUAGCAAUCAUGAGACUCACCUGUCACCAUGGGAGCCACUUUGUACCAGGACGUGGGGGCAUCCCACUCUGGGGGAGCCUGCACCUCCAAAGGGAGGAUGGUCUGCGUGUCCCGGACCUGGAAGAGGGUCACGUACAUCCAUCACAGGGCCUCUCCACACUGAGGUCCAUCGUGGGAAAGAGAAAGCUCCAGGAGAGGAACGAGGGUGGUGAGUGUCUGUCGGGGACGCGUUGGCACUGCACACAGUGGGUGCCCCAAGGACUGUGCCCUCCACCAGGCAGGUGCUUGGCGAGGCCUGACUCACUGCCCGGAAGGACACGCACUGCAGAAGACCUGGGUAAAUUCAAGCCAGCUGACCAAGCAGCAGGGAACCCACUCUGCUCCCAGGGCUGGCGGCCUUGGAGGGAGGCUAACAAGCAGCAGGCUGGGGUAUGAAAAGCACCAGCUACUGCCAGGCUCCGAGGCCCCAACGUCACAGGAACCCUGGCCGACCCCUCAGCCUUCUCUCGGGGUCUGUCCUCCACCUCUCCGUCUUCCCAUCCACCGGGGGAUCUGCUGUGCAGGGAGCUGGGGUGCGGCCCAGCGGAGGGGCACCCCAGCCAGGUCUGUUCCUCCCUGGGCUGCCGGUGAGUUCUGCCUCUCUCACCCAGCGCUCAGCAGCCCUGGCCCCCACCAAAGCCCCCUACCGCUCACCUGCCUCGGGCCUCUGCCCAGCUCCUUGGUGUCCUGGCUGAAGUCUCAGCUACCAGGGGGGCCCUGCCCGGAGCCUCUGGCCUUCCAGGAAACAGGGUCUGAGAAUGCAGGGGACGUGGGGGACCAGUCUGAGAACGGUGUCCCCACCGUGCAUGUGAGCACUUGUGCUGCUGCGUGCGGGAGACAGAAUGCUUCCUGGAGGUGACGGGCGUGCUGCUCGCCACUGAGAAUCCGUUCCCAGCUGAAGCCUUUGUUCUGUGAAGGAUCCCAUUGGCAGCUCUCACGAUGGAGCUCAGGCUCAUGGGCCUGGCCGGAGCUGACCACCCGCCCACCCGACCCAGGCCUGGUCUGGAAGCUCACAGAGUUGGCCAAGCUCGGUGGGGCCUGGGUCUGCUGACCACAGUCGACUUCCCUGUCUGUUCCAGGCUAUUUUUUUAAAUGUUUUGUUUUGCUUUUUGAGGCAGGAUCUCACUAAAUCGCUAAAUUGCCCAGGCUGGGCUUGAAUUUGCGAUCUUUCUACUACAGCCUUCCAAAGUGCUAGUAUUACAGCCCUGUGCCCCCAUACCCAGCUCAAACUAAUUUUUUUUCAGAGCUGGGGAUGAACCCCAGGAUCUUGCACGUGCUUGGCACUGCUGUACCGCUGAGAUGCACACCCAGAUCUAGGAUAAUUUAAUUUUGCUUGCAGAUUAUAAAUAAGAUGUCCAAUCUUUAAAAUGAGAAGCUAUAAACCCUAUUACUACAUAUAUAACAAAGUAAGCACUCUAAAGUAUUUUGAUUCCUGGUGUGGGAGGAGGUUUCCUAAGGGCAUCACAAAGCGCAAGGCAGGAGGCCAUUGAGGGACUAGGGCAAGAGAAGAAAAACCGGGAGGUAGAGUGUGGGGGAGGCUGAGCAACGCCCCUAACCUGGAGCGGGUUGAGGACUUCCUCGGCGCACCAGCCCCACCCUGUGGCCGCUCUGGGAACUGCAGCCAGGGACUUAACCCUGUUUCCACCGUGCGCGUUAGGGUGUUAAGAUCCUUGGCCUCCCCCAUGGGCUGCUGAGCACCCAGCCAAAGCCCUGCCUCCCAGCUCGGGCCUGGGAUGUGUACGGCCAGGCCCAGGGCAGUGCUGGUAGCCAGAGAACAUCAGGCCUGCUACCCCAGCCUUGUCUGUACCCCCCAGCUCCCGGUCAGGUGUCAUCUCACCAGGAGUGACCCUGGGCCCGCCCACCUGGGUCAAGCAGUUCCUCACGGCGUCUGCCAGCUUGGCAACCAGCCGUCCUCGGGUGGAAUCCGGCUCUUUCUGGCGGGGAGGAUAGUGCGGGAGGUGAGGGAGGACUGGGGAGAAAGAAAGAGGAAAGCAAGGAGGGGAGGGAGCUUUUGUCUCCUUCCUACCCUGUUCCCUUGCU